CCUACGGGAGGCAGCAGUUAGGAAUUUUGCACAAUGGGCGAAAGCCUGAUGCAGCAACGCCGCGUGGACGAUGAAGGCCUUCGGGUCGUAAAGUCCUUUUCAGAGGGAAGAAACGGACGGUACCUCUGGAAUAAGCCUCGGCUAACUACGUGCCAGCAGCCGCGGUAAUACGUAGGAGGCGAGCGUUAUCCGGAUUUACUGGGCGUAAAGAGCGCGUAGGCGGUUCCGUAAGUUGGGCGUGAAAGCCCCCGGCUAAACUGGGGAGGGUCGUUCAAUACGGCGGGACUGGAGGGCAGACGAGGAGACUGGAAUUCCCGGUGUAGGGGUGAAAUGCGUAGAUAUCGGGAGGACCCCCCGUGGCGAGGGCGAGUCUCUGGGCUGCCCCUGACGCGGAGGCGCGAAAGCGUGGGGAGCGAACGAAAUUAGAUCCCC
rnacentral:rRNA from 1 species